UACGUAGGGUGCAAGCGUUGUUCGGAAUUACUGGGCGUAAAGGGCGCGUAGGCGGCACAGCAAGUCGGGUGUGAAAGCCCGGGGCUCAACCCCGGAAUGGCUUUCGAAACUGCUGAGCUAGAGUGCAGAAGGGGCAACCGGAAUUCCCAGUGUAGCGGUGAAAUGCGUAGAUAUUGGGAAGAACACCUGAGGCGAAGGCGGGUUGCUGGGCUGAUACUGACGCUGAGGCGCGAAAGCCAGGGGAGCAAACGGG
rnacentral:rRNA from 1 species